CAGUCGCCGCGGUAAAACGGAGGGUGCAAGCGUUAAUCGGAAUUACUGGGCGUAAAGCGCACGCAGGCGGUUUGUUAAGUCAGAUGUGAAAUCCCCGGGCUCAACCUGGGAACUGCAUUUGAAACUGGCAAGCUAGAGUCUCGUAGAGGGGGGUAGAAUUCCAGGUGUAGCGGUGAAAUGCGUAGAGAUCUGGAGGAAUACCGGUGGCGAAGGCGGCCCCCUGGACGAAGACUGACGCUCAGGUGCGAAAGCGUGGGGAGCAAACAGGAUUAGAUACCCCAGUAGUCCCUGUCUCUUAUAC
rnacentral:rRNA from 1 species